AUGACCAACCCCCAAGGGCUACGGAGGAUGAAUGGCGGCAAGGAGCUCCCUAGUGACGCCUUCAAGAAGAGGGCAGAGCCGAGAGCUGCGAAUCCGGACCUAGAGACAGGAGUGGCACAUGAGCCAUGCCCCCAAGAGGCACAUCCGUCAAUGGUGGGCCGCCAUCCGAGUGGAGUCGAAGGGCGACAGAGGACAGGACCGAGACGGACAUGUGAGGUGGAUGGUGAACCGAGGAAGGACAAGUGGAGCAGGCCGCCGGUGAGGAGGGUGGAGACGAGGUGGGGUAGUGGAGUAGCGGGGGCCGUUGUACCACGGCAUGGGGGUGGGGGCACUGCUGAGUGGAGGUCCUUCCCGGCAGGAACCGACGGCGUCGGAGGUGGACAGAGGGUGGGGGCACCAGAGAGGAGGAUCUUCCCGGCAGGGACCGGCGGUGGCGGAGGCGAGGAGGCCAGGAGGAGUCCGUCGCUGGAUCCACCGGACCAGCCACAGCCCGUCCGUGACGGGCGCCCAGGGGGGCGGGGACGGGGAGGGCGAGCGGGAUGGAGACGCAGGACGGGUCGUCGAUGGGAGGGGAGGGGACGCCGGCGCCGGAUCUACGGCCGCCCGGCUUCGGUCGCGCAGGAGGACGGGGUCGAGGAGGAUCCGUGGGGAGCGAGGCGAGGUGGAGCGGGGUGCAUCGUCUGCCGGAGAGGAUGGGGGAGGAGAGGGGAGCUAUGGGUGCAGCGAGCCGAGGGAGAGCCAGAUCCGUCGCCGGCCAGCCGAAACGGACGGCCAGGAGGCCGAAGCGCAGCCGCGGGCGCCGCCGGCACCAGGGGCCAGGCUGCCCGCCCACCUAGCGCCCAUCGCGGAGAGCAGUGCCCCGCCGCCGCCGUCGGCCGCGCGGGAUUCUCCCGGCGGCGUCCUUCGGCGGCGGCGAGGGGGAGAGAGGUGGGAGACGGGGUGGCGGCGGCUAGUUUUAAAACUUCGCUCCAUGCUAGGAGCUGGGUCCGAGCCCCUCCGUGCGAUUGCACUGCCGCUCCCUCCGCUCGAGGAGUUGCAGCUGUGGAGCGGAGUGGAUCCGAACGGGGGCUUAUUGUCAUAAUUUUGUGCGUUUAUUAUAGGAAGUGUUUGCCAACCAAGGUGAACCGAGAGAUACAAAAGCUGGAGCAAGAAGUUCGGUUACUCAUGCUCAAUGUCGCAAAGGAACACAGCCGCGGAAGCAGCAGCAACAACAACAAUAACGACGACAACGAUUGCAUAAAGACUAAACAUAACAGCUUUCUGCGCUCGAUUGUGAACAGCUCUCGGCAUUGCCCGGCCAGCUACGGUGGCAGCGCCGAGGACUAUAUCGUCGACAACUGGAAGAACAUCUACUUUGCCGGGCACGAGACUGCAGCUGUCACCACCACCUGGUGCCUGAUGUUACUGGCCACGCACCCGGCGUGGCAGGACCGUGCCCGCGCCGAGGCUCUGGAGGUGUGCCGUGGAUGCACAAAGCUCGACGUCGACGUCCCCCGGCGACUGAAAACAGUGAGAAAGCAUCCCUCCCGUUAUGCAUCGAUCAGUCUUGAAGAAACAGGCACGCCAUUGGCAUUAUUAGCCAUUGCAUUCUCUUUCCAGAUCACCAUGGUGAUCCAGGAGACUCUCCGGCUGUACCCUCCGGCGUCACUGAUCGUGCGCGAGGCGCUGACUGACUUCAAGCUUAAGUCUGAACAUCGGCCGCCACUUGUUUGUGAUCGGCAAGGCAUGCUUUCGUUGGUUGGUACUUUCUGCCGCUGA
rnacentral:rRNA from 1 species